rnacentral:sRNA from 1 species
GUUGGGCUCGGUGGCGCAUACCUGUAAUCCUAGCAGCGUGGAGUCUGAGGCAGGAGGAUCGGGAGCUCAAAGCCAGCCUCUAUAAAAUACAGGCACUAAGCAAUUGAGACCCUGUCUCUA